GCGGUUGUGCUGAAAUUGGUAGACAGGCAGCGUUGAGGUCGCUGUGUUCGAAAGGACGUGAGGGUUCAAGUCCCUCCAACCGCACCA
rnacentral:tRNA from 1 species